rnacentral:rRNA from 1 species
UCAGCCAGCCGCGGUAAUACGUAGGGUAGCGAAGCGUUAUUCUGAAAUUAUUGGGCGUAGAAGAGCUCUUAGGCGGGUUUGUCGCGUCUAUUCGUGAAAGUCCGGGGCUUAACCCCGGAUCUGCGGUGGGUACGGGCAGACUAGAGUGCAGUAGGGGAGACUGGAAUUCCUGUGUAGCGGUGGAAUGCGCAGAUAUCAGGAGGAAACACCGAUGGCGAAAGCAGGUCUAUGGGCUGUAACUGACGCUGAGGAGCGAAAAGCAUGGGGAGCGAACAGGAUUAGAUACCCUGGUAGUCCAUGCCGUAAACGUUGGGCACUAGGUGUGGGGACCAUUCCACGGUUUCCGCGCCGCAGCUAACGCAUUAAGUGCCCCGCCUGGGGAGUACGGCCGCAAGGCUAAAACUCAAAGGAAUUGACGGGGGCCCGCACAAGCGGCGGAGCAUGCGGAUUAAUUCGAUGCAACGCGAAGAACCUUACCAAGGCUUGACAUGUUCUCGAUCGCCGUAGAGAUACGGUUUCCCCUUUGGGGCGGGUUCACAGGUGGUGCAUGGUUGUCGUCAGCUCGUGUCGUGAGAUGUUGGGUUAAGUCCCGCAACGAGCGCAACCCUCGUUCCAUGUUGCCAGCACGUAAUGGUGGGGACUCAUGGGAGACUGCCGGGGUCAACUCGGAGGAAGGUGAGGACGACGUCAAAUCAUCAUGCCCCUUAUGUCUUGGGCUUCACGCAUGCUACAAUGGCCGGUACAAUGGGUUGCGAUACUGUGAGGUGGAGCUAAUCCCAAAAAGCCGGUCUCAGUUCGGAUUGGGGUCUGCAACUCGACCCCAUGAAGUCGGAGUCGCUAGUAAUCGCAGAUCAGCAACGCUGCGGUGAAUACGUUCCCGGGCCUUGUACACACCGCCCGUCAAGUCACGAAAGUUGGUAACACCCGAAGCCGGUGGCCUAACCCUUGUGGGGGGAGCCGUCGAAGGUGGACCAGCGG